rnacentral:lncRNA from 1 species
AAUUACUGAGUACUGAGUUAGAAGGAGAAAAAAUGUCUUCGAGUCUACCUCUCCUCAAUAAAGAGGUCUGAGUAGAGGCAACUUACAAAGGCCUCAGCCAAAGGCCACAAAUAAAGAGGCCUCCACCUGAGGACACUGGGGUCAAGAACACAGCUGUAUAAGUUUAAGAGCUUGGCCCACCAGUUGCAGUUGCCUGAAACUCCCUUCAGAAACUGUAAUUCAUUCUGUCCGCACCAAGUCAGCUGUGACAAAGCCAGCUCUCCCUGAGGCCUGCCAGCCUUUCAAAUAUCGUUCCAUUUUCUGCAGGCCUUAAUUAUUUCUGAUAAGGGCAAUGGUGAAGGCAUGCAUAUCCCAACUGACCUCUUGGAUUACAUCUUGAUAAAAAGUAACAGUGUUUUACCACCACACUUCAUGCCACAGAAGGAAAGGCAUACACGGCAGUGACCUCCAAGGAAGAUAAGCACCACUGCACUUCAUAUACUGACUCCUCUUCGUGCCUACAGAUAAAUCUCUGAAAAGGUGAAGUAGGAAGGAAAUAAGAAAGGAAGAAAAAGCCAGGAGAGACUCAUUUUUCUUAUCAAUUUCAUUAACAAAAUACAAAGAUUCAGAAUCUGAAGUCAAUAGACAGUAAAUCACUUCCUAGCUAACUUCACAUUCACAGAAGCCCUAUGAAAGAUUAACAUAGAACAAUUCCUUUUACUGCAAUACACAGGCUAGAGAUAAGGACAAGAUUUCUCCUAACCCCUUGCUGAAAAAUUAAUGAGCACUCGGGUCAUAAGUCCAUUUUUUUUCCCCAAGCCAAAUCAGGAAGUUAUUUUUUUUCACACUAGGAGUACAAAGUCAAACUGGAACCAAAUAUUUAAACUACAGCUAGAUGAUUUCAAUUCUGUAAGUGUUCCAAUAAUUUUUUUCUUCCUUUCUGAGAAAAAGAAAACAAACUAAUAAUGUCCUAUUCAUUUAAUGUUUCAAGAGAACUAUUGAAUAAUAGACUAACUAAAGCUUAUUUUAACUACCAAUUCUAACUAAAGGUUAACAUUUUUGGUAUUUAUGUUGAAAUAUGAUGGUUGUUACAGGAAGAUCAGUGAUGCUUAGCAUUGGAGAGUUAACAUGCCUAGAUUUCUUAGGAAACUAAAAAAAAUAAAUGAGGUCAAGUAACAUUUAAAUAACUUUAAGGAAAUUUAAAAAUAAUCUGGUAAGGUUGUCUCCAUAGCAAUUUCAGGGAAGUGGAGAGAUUCGUUCUUUUCAAAUGGUUCAAAGGUGAAAAAUAUAUAUUUCCAAAUCUAAACUUUGAUCUGUAUAUUUCUCAGAAACCAUGUGAUAUUCUAAUUAUACACUAAACUUGUAUUAUAUUAUAAUCUUAUUUACUUUUUCUGUAAUAUCCAUUCCUUAUUAUCUCUUCCUUGAAAUACCUGUACUUUAGAUAUUUUAAAU